AAAUGAAUUGACGGGGGCCCGCACAAGCGGAGGAACAUGUGGUUUAAUUCGAUGAUACGCGAGGAACCUUACCCGGGCUUGAAAUGCAUCUGACCAUAGUGGAAACAUUAUAUCUAGCAAUAGCAGAUGUGUAGGUGCUGCAUGGUUGUCGUCAGCUCGUGCCGUGAGGUGUCGGCUUAAGUGCCAUAACGAGCGCAACCCUUAUCCUUAGUUGCUAACAGGUCAUGCUGAGGACUCUAAAGAGACUGCCACCGUAAGGUGCGAGGAAGGUGGGGAUGACGUCAAAUCAGCACGGCCCUUAUGUCCGGGGCGACACACGUGUUACAAUGGGAGGUACAACGGGCAGCUACCGGGCGACCGGAUGCCAAUCUCUAAAAACCUCUCUCAGUUCGGAUCGGAGUCUGCAACUCGACUCUGUGAAGCUGGAUUCGCUAGUAAUCGCGCAUCAGCCAUGGCGCGGUGAAUACGUUCCCGGGCCUUGUACACACCGCCCGU
rnacentral:rRNA from 1 species